rnacentral:rRNA from 1 species
CGCAAGCCUGACGGAGCAAUACCGCGUGAGGGAGGAAGGCCUUUGGGUUGUAAACCUCUUUUCUUAAGGAAGAAGAUCUGACGGUACUUAAGGAAUCAGCAUCGGCUAACUCCGUGCCAGCAGCCGCGGUAAUACGGAGGAUGCAAGCGUUAUCCGGAAUUAUUGGGCGUAAAGCGUCCGUAGGCGGUGAGUUAAGUCUGCUGUCAAAGCCUGCAGCUCAACUGUGGAGUGGCAGUGGAAACUGAUUGACUAGAGUGCGAUAGGGGUAGAGGGAAUUCCCAGUGUAGCGGUGAAAUGCGUAGAUAUUGGGAAGAACACCAGUGGCGAAGGCGCUCUACUGGGUCGCAACUGACGCUGAGGGACGAAAGCUAGGGGAGCG